rnacentral:rRNA from 1 species
GGAGCUUGCUUUAUAUAACUUAGCAGCGAACGGGUGAGUAACACGUAGAUAAUCUAUCCUAUACUGGGGGAUAGCCCGAUGAAAGUUGGAUUAAUACCGCAUAUAGCUAUAUAGUUGCAUGAUUAUGUAGUGAAAGAUUUAUUGGUAUAGGAGGAGUCUGCGGCACAUUAGCUAGUAGGUGAGGUAAAGGCUUACCUAGGCGACGAUGUGUAGCCGGUCUGAGAGGAUGAACGGCCACAAUGGAACUGAGACACGGUCCAUACUCCUACGGGAGGCAGCAGUGGGGAAUAUUGCACAAUGGGGGAAACCCUGAUGCAGCAACGCCGCGUGAGUGAAGAAGGUUUUCGGAUUGUAAAGCUCUGUUAGCAGGGAAGAGGAAGGACGGUACCUGCAGAGGAAGCCACGGCUAACUACGUGCCAGCAGCCGCGGUAAUACGUAGGUGGCAAGCGUUGUUCGGAAUAACUGGGCGUAAAGGAUGCGUAGGCGGUUAAACAAGUUAUAUGUUAAAUAUAUAGGCUUAACCUGUAGAAAGCAUAUAAAACUGUUUAACUAGAGUGCAGGAGAGGUAAGUGGAAUUCCUAGUGUAGCGGUGAAAUGCGUAGAGAUUAGGAAGAACACCAGUGGCGAAGGCGACUUACUGGACUGUAACUGACGCUGAGGCAUGAGAGCAUGGGGAGCAAACAGGAUUAAGAUACCCUGGUAGUCCAUGCUGUAAACGAUGGGU